rnacentral:rRNA from 1 species
UGGGCAACCUGCCCUCAGCUCUGGGAUAACUCCAAGAAAUUGGGGCUAAUACCGGAUAUGACUGCUGACCGCAUGAUCGGAGGUGGAAAGCUCCGGCGGAGAAGGAUGAGCUCGCGGCCUAUCAGCUAGUUGGUGUGGGUAAUGGCCCACCAAGGCGACGACGGGUAGCCGGCCUGAGAGGGUGACCGGCCACACUGUGACUGAGACACGGCCCAGACCUCUACGGGAG